rnacentral:rRNA from 1 species
UAAUACGUAGGGUGCGAGCGUUAAUCGGAAUUACUGGGCGUAAAGCGUGCGCAGGCGGCCUCUUAAGCCAGAUGUGAAAUCCCCGGGCUUAACCUGGGAACUGCGUUUGGAACUGGGAGGCUAGAGUGUGGCAGAGGGGGGUGGAAUUCCCGGUGUAGCAGUGAAAUGCGUAGAUAUCGGGAGGAACACCAAUGGCGAAGGCAGCCCCCUGGGUUAACACUGACGCUCAUGCACGAAAGCGUGGGGAGCAAACAGGAUUAGAUACCCUGGUAGUCCACGCCCUAAACGAUGUCAACUGGUUGUCGGGGAAGUAAUUCCUUGGUAACGAAGCUAACGCGUGAAGUUGACCGCCUGGGGAGUACGGCCGCAAGGUUAAAACUUAAAGGAAUUGACGG